GGAGAGUAGGUUAUUGCCAGGGUUUUUAUUUUAUACUUUAAACAUUGAUUUUAUUUUUUAUGUUUUUAGAUGUUCAUGUUUUUGAAUGUUUUAUUCGAAUAAUAUAAAAAAUAAAAUAUAUAUUGACAUGGAUUAAACAAAGAUAUAUAUUAUUCUAUGUUGUAUAAACAAAUUGGCAAAAUAGAGAUGGAAGAUAAAAAUAUGGUCAAAGUAAUAAGAGUCUAUGGUGAAUGCCUAGGAGCUUUAAGGCGAAGAAGGUCGUGGUAAGCUGCGAAAAGCUUGGGGGAGAAGCAAACAUUUAUUGAUCCCAAGAUUACCGAAUGGAGUAAUCCAGCAGCAA
rnacentral:misc_RNA from 1 species